AACGAACGCUGGCGGCAGGCCUAACACAUGCAAGUCGAGCGCCCCGCAAGGGGAGCGGCGGACGGGUGAGUAACGCGUGGGAACGUACCCUUUGCUACGGAAUAGCCUCGGGAAACUGGGAGUAAUACCGUAUGUGCCCUUCGGGGGAAAGAUUUAUCGGCAAAGGAUCGGCCCGCGUUGGAUUAGGUAGUUGGUGGGGUAAUGGCCUACCAAGCCGACGAUCCAUAGCUGGUUUGAGAGGAUGAUCAGCCACACUGGGACUGAGACACGGCCCAGACUCCUACGGGAGGCAGCAGUGGGGAAUCUUAGACAAUGGGCGCAAGCCUGAUCUAGCCAUGCCGCGUGAGCGAUGAAGGCCUUAGGGUUGUAAAGCUCUUUCAGUGGGGAAGAUAAUGACUGUACCACAGAAGAAGACCCGGCUAACUCCGUGCCAGCAGCCGCGGUAAAGUCUGUACU
rnacentral:rRNA from 1 species